GACGGAGGGUGCAAGCGUUGUUCGGAAUUACUGGGCGUAAAGCGUACGUAGGCGGCGGAUUAAGUCGAAUGUUAAAGCCUGAGGCUCAACCUCAGAGAUGCACUCGAUACUGGUCUGCUAGAGGGUGAUAGAGGAAAGCGGAAUUCCCAGUGUAGCGGUGAAAUGCGUAGAUAUUGGGAGGAACAUCAGUAGCGAAGGCGGCUUUCUGGGUCACACCUGACGCUGAGGUACGAAAGCGUGGGGAGCAAACGGG
rnacentral:rRNA from 1 species